CGCUGAGAGAAGCCUGAAAUAUCCAAGUGUUGCAAAAUGACGAAGGCCGUGCUCGCUCUUGUUUUGGCUAUGGCAGCCAUCGCUUGCGCCUCGACCGGCGUCGAUGUCAUUCGCCACACUCCCGGAUAUGAUGGCUUCUAUGGUCUCUACGGAUAUGCACCCUAUUAUUAUGGAUACGGAAACGGAUAUUUCGGAUAUGAGGGACUUGGUUUCGGACCUUACAACUACUUUGGAAGAUACGGCCUCGGUUAUAGCGGAUAUGGACUUGGAUACCGAGGAUACUUGGGAGGACUCGGUUAUUUUUAAAAAAACACAAAAUUUAAGAAUCCUCAUCAGAUAAGAUGAUUCAACUGGUAUAUAAAUCAAGUAUCCAGAAAAGAAAUCUUGGAAGAUUAUUU